UGCAACUGUCUGUCACUCACAUUCAGAAGGACUGGUUUGGCACUCUGCUGGUUCGUGGAGAACAUUUUCUAAGCAACUUUCAGGGAGGAAAUAUGUCUGUUUGAUGGCAUUUUCUGCUGGAGAAAAGAGCACACAGCAUCCCCCAAGGCCGUGAAUGAACCCCGGAGUUCAGGAGGAUCACAGCAGGCAGGGCCAGAAAGGAGUUGGGCAGGCUCACGCCCUUCCAAUCUAUUGUGGUUUCACACAUGGCCAUGUUUGUGAGCCCACAGGUGGAAGUGGGGACUUUCCAUCUUAAGUCCUCUUUGACCCACGGUAUACCAAGAAAAGUUAGGCUUAAUUAUCAAACAUUUAGGGAGUUUCUCUUUAUUAUCAUGUAAAUACAUUUAUAAAUACAUAAAUAUAUUUAGUUAUGCAAGUAAAGCUUAAGUCUACUGUGGCCCAGCAGUAUAUGGUUUUAAUCUUUUAACCUAUUAAAGACAUUUUAUGACUAGCACUGUGCUCACAGAUGUUCUAUGAGCAUUGAACUACAUCUGUUAUGUAAUCAGACUCAUGUGCUCCAUUCAGUGAUGUAAUGUUUUGAACCUGUCAAUUAGGUCAUGACCUUUCCCGAUGGUUUUUAUCUGCCUGUUUGUCAGAUACCGAGAAUGGUGUAUUACAGACUUCAGUUGUCCCUACCCAUUCAGCAUUGCCCUAAGCAUCUAAACAAUGUACCGAGUAAACCAAAUAGUGUAAGGAGAGGGGUGCUAGGCACAGCAAAUAUGAUUGUUAAAAAUUUAAUCUUAGAACCAAAUUUGAAAAAUGAAUCACAGACUAAAUGUAAUGAUUGUCAAGUUUCUAGAAGAAAACAGGGUAAAAUAUCUUACUGAACUCCAGAUAGGACACAGAAUACCCUAACCACUCAAAAAGCACUGAAUGGCCUUUAGUCAAGACUUAACAAUUCCCACUCAUCUCAUGGUGUGGUCAAAAUGAAAAGAUCAGCCACAGCUCCAAGUAGAUAUUGUUAGUCUACUGCUAGGGCUUCUGUGUGGAAUGUGCCUCCCACCACAGGUUCACAUAGUUCAGCACUUGGUCCCCAGCUAGUGGCACUGUUUGGAGAUUGUGAAUCCUUAGGGUGUGGCGUCUAGCUGGAGGAAGAGGGUUACUGGGAGGGUGUGCCUUGCGGUAUAUACCCCAACCCCCCUUCCUGCCCACUCCAUUUCUUGUUCGGUACCAUACCAUAAGCGCUACCCAUGCUCCUGCCACUAAGAAGCCACUCAUCACCAUGCCUUCCCUGCCAUGACAGACUGUGCCUCUUCAAACCGUAAGCCAAAACAAACCCUCCUCUUUUAAGCACCAUAUUCUUAGGCUAAUAUUUGGCAACAGUGAUCAGAAAACCGAUAUAUAUAUAUAACCGUAUUUUACCCUUACCCCGGAACUGUUGCCUUUGUCCAUGUCGUGUUGCUAUAAUAGUGUCUGAGAAUGGGUAAUUUCUAUUGACUGAUUACAUACAGUUCUCACCUUCCGGGCCAACAGUUCCCAUAUUCUAGUUUGUAUUCUAUUUCUGUGUUAAAGACCAUGACCAAAAGCAACCUGGAGAAGAAAGGAUUUGUUUCAGCUUAUAACCCCCAGGUUAUAUCAUCACAAAGGGAAGUGAGAGUGGAGAUCUGGAGGCAGCACCUGAAGCAGAGACCAUGGAGGGAUGUUUCCUGGCUUCUUUCCCAUGGUUUGCUCACCCUGCUUUCUAAAACCAGCAGGAUCGCUCGCCCAGGGGCGGUACUGUCCCUAGCAGUCUGGGUCCUUCCACUCCAAAGGUUGAUCAAGAAAUGCCCAAUAGCCAGUCUGAUGGAGACAUUUUCUCAACUGAGUUUCUUUCUUCCCAGAUGACUCUAGCUUGUAUCCAGCUGACAAAAAAUUAGGCAGCUCAUAGGGAAUGGGACUUCUUGGUGCCUCAUUCAGGGGUGGAAGAGAGAAAGGCACAUAGGGUGGCACACCAAAAAAACAUGAGUUUCAAAGUACUACACUCCACGAGAAAGCCCAUGGAGCACAUGCCUUCAGUUAAACUCAAAAAGGAACUAAAGCCAUCUAUGGUGAUGGGAACCAGAACAGAGGGCUCUGAGAAUUGCCUGGGAAAGAACUAAGAAGACUUUGGGGAGGUUGAUUUGAGAUACAGGCACAUAGAAAUGUCUAGAUUGUAAAUGAUUAACCAAACAGAGCACACAAAAGUAUUUUGUGAGUCAUAUUUUAUUCAUAUGGUCUGAUUGUAUCCCCCAAAGUUCAUAUGUUGAAACUUAAUUGCCGAAGUGAUUACCAAGAGUAGGACCCUAAGGAAGUGAUGAAGUCAUCACGGUACCUGACUCGCCCUGCAUGAAUGGAUUAGCAUUCUUCCACACUCCCUUCUCCCUUCCCUUCCACUGUGAAGGCACAGACUGCCAGAUAGCAGCUUGGUGGUAGACACGGGUCCUCAGCAGACAUCGUUCCUGCCUUGACGGUGACUCUGGCCUACAGAACGGUAAGAAAUAAUGGUUAUAAACUACCCAGGGCAGGGUAGUUAUUAUUAGCAGCAAGACCAUACAAAGGUAAUUACACACCAAUGCAAAGAGGAGUUUGGGUACAGUCUGCUAUCAUUAUUUAUCACACAUGGCCCAGGGUGGCCUCUAACUCCAUAUGUAGCUGAAGAUGAUCUGAAACCCUGGAUCUUCCUGCCUCCAGCCCCUAUGGGCAGGCGCCACCAUGCCUGUCUGAGCUGACCACUCUCUGUGCCCUCCCACCCUGUGUCGUGUCUGUUUGGUAUGUGUGCACAUGAGCAUCUUAUGUGUGAAUGGGAACACAUGCAUGUCGCACUGUCCAUGUGAGAGUCUGAGGACAACACAGGGAGCUGGUCCUUGCCUUCCACUGUGAGACAAUCUCUUGCUGUUUGUGGCUGCACACACCACGCUAGCUGGCCCAUGGGUGUUGAGAGAUUCUCCUUUCUCUGCCCUCCAUCCUGCUGUAGCAUCUGUGCUCCUUCAUCCAGCUUUUGGUGGUUCUUAGUGUGUUUCUAUUGCUGUAAUGAAUGACCAAAAGCAACUUGAAGUGGGAAGGGUUUGUUUGGUGGUUCUAGGGACAGCUUGGGGAUGUGAUUACCCAGAACAAAAGUGGGUUUGGGUAGGGAGCAGUGCUCACUCUCCUGAUUGUGAUGGAGACUUUACAAGUUACACUUGCAGGCCUCUGAACUCACUACGAUGCUCCCCGUACCAGUGUGCAAUCUGUCUUCUCUCACAUCUCGGCAAAGCCACGAAGAUGCUGAGCUGAACCGCCUGGAUGGAUGGCAUCUUUGUCUGAUAAACCUCUGCUCACAGAAGCUACCUCUGACCCAGCUACUCGUCAUCGUCACUUCAGAACAGGCUGGGGACUCUUUGGUGGAGGGAUCAUGCAGUUCAGGGAUGAAGUCACACAGCUUAAGUGGCCAGUCCUGCCUCCCACAGAGCUCUGACCUCCUCAGCCCUCAUCUCAUGCACCCAGGGUCUCUGGGUGUGUCACCAGCCUGAGCUUUGACCUGCUAACUGAUGCACAUUGAACUGGAGGGAGAGGCGAGGAGCAAAGAUGGCCAAGAGGAGAAAGUGAUUCCUCAGAAGAACAGAAGGGCACCUGCCAGGGGUUGGGGGUUGGGGGUGGGUGGUGGUGGACACUUUAACCAAAUGCUUUCCAUCUCUGACUCCUGUGAUCCAGUGGGGUAUCGAGAGAGAGCACCCUCUUCACACAGGCCCACCACAAUAGCCUCUGUCUUCUCGGCCCUCAGGGUGCUCCCAGGGCCCUCUGCUCUGUCCAGUUGGCCUCAGGCAGCACAGGACUAGGCAGCUCAAAGAGCGGUAGUGGGGGGAUGAAGGAAAGAGACACCUUAAUAUCCCUAUCAGAACUGGUUGAGUCCUGUGUACCAACAAAGGGAGCAGGAAAAACAAGCAGCCUGGGCAACCAUGAUGAGAGGCAUGCCAAGGACAGACAGUCUGUGGCUCACAGAGAGGCAAUCAGCUCGGACUCUAUCAUAGGCAUACGUUCUGGUGAGAGAUGAGCGUCUCUGGACCACAUCUGUGUUGAAGAUCCAGCAGACAGACAGACUCAAACUGCAUGGUUGUAGAGAAUUUGACUGUCACACAGAGAGAGCCGAAAUUAUCUUGAGCUGUCUUUAGUCCCCUUAAUAGACACUCACUUCCAACCUCUGUGUCUGACUUAAACUCUUGGUGGUUUUUUGCUGGGGAGACAGGAACAAAGGUCUAUUCACCAGAUAGGGUAUUAAAGGCAGACGAUGGCACCCAAGUCCAUCUGGCGGAAGCAGAGUUUUCUGGGGUUACUUCUAGGAGCAUGGACAACCCAGAAGCAGCUGCAUAGCUGAACUACCACCUGAGCACAGGUGGUGACUCAUAAAAUCCGCAUCCUUGGACCCCUGCACAACUGGCAGGCAGACGAGGUUUCCUCUGGGGAGAGCCUCCGUGAUUCUUCAAACUUUCUGACCUUCUUAUCUUGUUAGUUUCUGUAGCUGCUGGAGCCCUAGGACCCUCCCCCUAACCCCCCUCCCCAAAUCCACCCUUGCCCCAGGAGGAAAAGCUUUCGUUAGAAGGAAAUAGGUAUAAAAGAGGUUAGCAUGAGGUCACUGGCUUCCAUCAGACCUAAAGCUAAGGUCAUCAGGUAGCACCCGAAACCCAAAGCAGGACUUCCUGUUCUUCUGCAGCCCAGCUAACUGGUGUCCCUGUCAACACAUCUGGCAAAUGCACCGAUCCACUACUUCUUUCGUUUUGUGACAGAAAAAAGUUACCGUAGCCUUUUCCUACAAACCUGUCUCUGUUUCCCUGGACCACAUCUGGCCCAGAAUAAAUGGCUUCUUACUCUCUUUGAAGUGAGCACCAUGGUUCGUAUUUAUGCUAGAGUCACACCUGUGCAGCUAGUCACCCCAAAGAUUCAGCAGUGAUCAGAUUCACAUCAGUGGCUCAGGACCAAAGAUAAGUAAGAGACCUUUAACAGGGCAGGACAGUCCCUCUGAAUAUGGGGAAGCUCAGGGAAGGGCUCUCUCUGGGAGUUCUGGAAGUGAAAGUGUGUGUCAGAGUGCUGGAGGCUAGGGAAAAAAGAAGCAGAGCUUGAGAAGGGACAAGGGACUGACCUCUAUUUCACCUCAGGAAAUGGAGGCUGAGGUGUGGCCUCCCUGGUCAUGCUAUGGGCAAGAAGAGGCAAACUAUGUAUCCAGUUAGAACAUCCUUCUCCCCGGCACCCAGAGUCCAGCCUGGAAUUUCAUCACUAUCAUUACAAAGCAACAUGCUAGCAUUACCAUUCUCCUCAGAAGCUGACUGACUUCCAGAAAGGAAGGUCAGCGAAUGCUAUUCCUGUACGUUCACACUGAAGCCUCACAGGUCUGCAGGCCCCUGCCUCCACCCUAGGACCUGCCUUGGUCUGAGCUGCUAUCAGGGCCGACAGGGUGACCCUACCUGAAUGCGUCCAUUCGGCACCUGAUUCAGUAUUUGAGUUUUUAAGAUAUUCUGAAACAGACACAACAGAAAAAUCAU